UCGCGCGCGCGUCUCCUUCUCUCUCUCUCUCUCGCGCUCUAUCUCCGACUACGCGUUUCGUAUAAACGCAUUUCGUGGAAUUUUCGUCGCGGCUGACUUGAAAGUCAGUUUCACCGUUUACGAUUGUGUUAUUCCUGCGCGAUCGAGCUCACGAGUCCUCGCGACGAUACGCAAUACGUGUUAGAUGAUUGGUUAUCUAACAAUCCGAGUCGCGUCGAUAAUCCGACGAGGCGGAAAAUUUAUAGGUUAACUCGACACACUCUCGCGCGAGACGGAAGACGGAUUCUCGAAACAAGUACGAUAUUAUGAGAUCUUGUAAUGCUUUCUCGCGUCUCCUUUUUUCUUUUCUCCUUGAAUCUGUUCGAGAAAUCUUCGUCGAAAAAGAUCCGUCUUUAAAUUAAAGGUGAGAUAUCAUUUACACCAUGAAAAAUUCCAAACUCCAAAUUCCACUGUAAUCAUUACGAUAUACAUCUAGCGCAGUAGAUGGCCUUUCGGCGCUUUUAAACAUUAACGGUUAUUGAAACUUAUAAGAUAGCUAUUUGAAAGUUGCGAUAAAGUUCGAAAUUGCACAAUACCGCAAAGUUUUCGAUGAAACGACUGAAUUCGUAGUUAUCGCUUCGAGAGUGUGUUGCGGUUCACGUUCGAAAUGUUUCGAUAUCACGUGCGCGAUUUACAACGCUUGGAAUCGUAACUUCGUUUUCGAUUCGUGUCAAAUGGGACUGCUUUGGCUCGAAAUUUGUUUUCUUCGAUUUGAGGUAGGAAAAAUAUCGAGCAACACCAGGUCAUGAGGACAGUACACUCGCACGUCAUCUGUAAACAUACGCAACUUGUGUGCUCUGUUUUGCAUUCCUUCAGUAUUAUAUCAUCAAAACAAUCUCAAUAAAAAAAAUUGUACAAAGUGCAAUUCUUUUGAUGAAAGAGAGCACUGUGCGAAGAUGUCAUACGAAGUUUCAAACGAAUGUGCGAUGGGCGGAAGAAAAAUAUUAGCGUCAUAUCGCUUCCUGGCUACAGGGAUGGCCGAUAGGUUGAUACCAGCACAAUAUUACAACAGUAACAGCGGCCGUUGAUCGUGCGGCUCUCGAAGUGGCUAUGCAAAUUAACGCGGGCUCUAUCGAGCGAGAUUGCCCAGAGAGAGCCUCGGCGAAAGAGAGCGAAGGAUAGAUACGAAUAAUCAAAGAAGGACGGUAGAGAUGAAUAGAAAGAGUGAUGUAUAGAAGGGAAAGAGGAACAGAGAGGAAAAGCCGCAGGGCAAGGGAAUCCGAGAGGGCAAGCAUCGGAGAGAGUGAACGUGAAUAAAGGUAGAAGAGGAACGUCGACCGAGGAUCGUAGAAAAGGAUAGCAGACGAACGCGGAGAAUGCACGCCGUCAACGUCACUGUCGCUGCCUAGUCACUGACGUCAUCGAAGAACGAUUCCAAUUAUGGAUGUCGGAGGUAGCCGCAGGGUUUGAUCGCGCGUUGGAGAGAGGCGUUUCUUGUCACUAAGAGAGAUUCCGACAGGUUGUGUGUAUGUGUGAACAUUCAUACAUAUAUUAUGAUUGGCGCGUCGAUACGUGCCGUUAGAUUCGUCGAGUUAGAAUCGUGAAUCUGAUGCAUUCUGACAGGCAUGCCGGCGAUUUUGCGUAAGCACGGUAGUUCUGAAGGAUAUAUCUUCUUCGUGACGUAUACAAAUGAUCAGGAUCGCGUCAAACAAGAAUGUAUUUUUCCGAUAAAAUUAAAUAAAUUGAAGCGAAGACAAAAUUAAGCAGUUAUUAAAACACGGAUUAAUUAAAAUAUUUUGGCGUAUUAUUCGAUCACAUUUUUUUCUUUUUCUUUUGAGAGACCCAGCCAACGCACGAAAAGAUCGAAGAGGCAAGAUAGGAAUAUAUAAACGUAGAUUUAGCGGAUCGUAUCGCAGAAUCUGCCGAGUUUACCUUUUGUCUCUCGCAAUCUCUAAAGCAUCUACUCUUCUCUCUCUAUCUUUAUUUGUCUCUCUCUUCCCUCUACGAUUUCCUCCGCCCGUUGUAUCGAGAAUUCACCAGUUUCUUAUUAUUCUCCCAUCGUGCGCCAUUGUGCACAUCGGACAAAGCGCCAUGGAGACGGCUCUGCUGCCUUAUCUGCCAGAGAUAUUUGGCAAUAUCCGAAUGAACGGUCGACCGAAGAGACAACCUAAGAAAGAACACGAUGAGAGAAGGUAGGAUGAAUUAAAAAGGAACGUGCGGGAGAGAUUGCGUACGCGCAGGGACGUGGAACACCAGAUUCUCGUCUGAUCCUGGUCGUUUUGAAUGCGCCUGUCUACUCCCGUCGACUCUCUCUGGAACUCCAUGUAACGAUCUCAGAAAUUAGUCGUCGUGUCAUGUGGAUCGUUCCGACAAGAAAAAUUAGACGCGAUCUUGUAUUCAACACACAUUUAAGUCUUUCGGACGCCAAGUUUACUAGCUCUUAAUUUUAAAGAAGUAAAAUCCGCACUAAACAAAUUUACAUA
rnacentral:lncRNA from 1 species